rnacentral:lncRNA from 1 species
UGUGAUACGAAGAGUAAGCCAUUCCUGGGGAUUAUCGCAUAGCUUUAGCUAACUAGUGACUCCCAGAUAUCAGCCCACCUGUCUCAGCUCUGGGAUUAAAAGUGUGCACCACUCUGUCCCACCUUCCUCUUCUAACAAUGAGUCUCCAAAGUUGUUUUGUUUCAUUUCGUUUUGUGGGUAUUCUAAGUUUCUGGGCUAAUAUCCACUUACCAGUGAGUGCAUAUCAAGUGACUUCUUUUGUGAUUGGGUUACCUCACUCAGGAUGAUAUCCUCCAGAUACAUCCAUUUUGUUUUAAUUUUCUUUUUUUUUUAAGAUUUAUUUAUUUAUUAUAUGUAAGUACACUCUAACAGGACAGGCCCCAAAGCUGAGCUCUGCAAACUCACCCAACCUCACUCCUCAACACGGAACACCAGAAAACCGCCACUGGACCAGCGGAACUGCGGAAGGAAGAGGCUGCCACGUGCUUGUGUCUUGGACACUAUAUAGGAAUCUAUAAGAUGUUGGUCCUUGAAAGUAUGCACCAGUGGUCUGCAAAGAUCAUGUCUCCUGGACCCCUGGUUCCUGUCGAAGUUACCGCCCCCAUAGCCCCCCCCCCCCUCUCAAGAGAGGCUUGUGGCUAUCAGUCACGUAGACAAUGUUCCAAGCUUCUGGCAUUCUGGCUAGACUCCUUCCCACAGUUACCUAGCAACAGCAAGAUAGCCAGCCCACUAUAAGAGGGUCUGCUUGGCCCCUCCUUUCUCUCUCUAAGCUUUUACCUCUCUUACUCUGAUUAUUAGAUAACCUCUCUCUCUCCCUCUCUCUCUCUCUCCAUGUGACCAUGGCCUGUCUCUCUCUCUUUUUACUUUCUCUCCUUUCUCCCUGCUUUUCUACAAUAAAGCUCUAAAACCAUGGACCGUCUCUGUUCAUCAAGGCCCGCUGAGCUUGAACAAUGGGGAUAGGCUUUCUCCUAACAAGCUGAGUCUAACCUCCCGCCAGAAGGCCUUCCUACACUGCAGCCACAGACUGGACUAAGGACUCUUGCCUGUGUGGGAGCCACUCAGUGCCCCCCUCUAACUCUGCCCUCUCUUCCCUUAUCUCUGGGCCAAGUGCUGCCCCCUGGGCCCCUAUUCUGUUCUCUGCUCC